GAUGAACGCUGGCGGCGUGCCUAAUACAUGCAAGUCGAGCGAACAGACGAGGAGCUUGCUCCUCUGACGUUAGCGGCGGACGGGUGAGUAACACGUGGAUAACCUACCUAUAAGACUGGUAUAACUUCGGGAAACCGGAGCUAAUACCGGAUAAUAUAUUGAACCGCAUGGUUCAAUAGUGAAAGACGGUUUUGCUGUCACUUCUAGAUGGAUCCGCGCCGCAUUAGCUAGUUGGUAAGGUAACGGCUUACCAAGGCAACGAUGCGUAGCCGACCUGAGAGGGGGAUAGGCCACACGGGAACGGAGACACGGUCCAGACUCCUACGGGAGGCAGCAGUAGGGAAUCUUACGCAAUGGGCGAAAGCCUGACGGAGCAAGGCCGCGUGAGUGAUGAAGGUCUUCGGAUCGUAAAACUCUGUUAUUAGGGAAGAACAAAUGUGUAAGUAACUAUGCACGUAUUGACGGUACCGAAUCAGAAAGCCACGGCUAACUACGUG
rnacentral:rRNA from 1 species